rnacentral:misc_RNA from 1 species
GCAAACUUGGUCAUUUAGAGGAAGUAAAAGUCGUAACAAGGUUUCCGUAGGUGAGUAAAGAUCUUUGACCCCUCGAUAUGCGAUUUUGACCAGAUGCUAAUUUGACUGAUAGGUGAACCUGCGGAAGGAUCAUUACCGAGUAUCGGGUGCUCUGGCACCCUGCUCCCACCCUAUGUUGACUUGUAACCGUUGCUUUGGCGGGCCGGUGGGCUACCUACCGCCGGGCGGCGCCUGGAGAGCGCCCGCCAGAGGACCAAACAAAACUCUUGUAACCUGUUCACAUCUGAGCAAGCGAGAAUGACCAAAACUUUCAACAACGGAUCUCUUGGUUCUGGCAUCGAUGAAGAACGCAGC